rnacentral:rRNA from 1 species
UACACUCCUGCGGGAGGCAGCAGUGGGGAAUAUUGGACAAUGGGCGCAAGCCUGAUCCAGCCAUGCCGCGUGAGUGAUGAAGGCCCUAGGGUUGUAAAGCUCUUUCACCGGUGAAGAUAAUGACGGUAACCGGAGAAGAAGCCCCGGCUAACUUCGUGCCAGCAGCCGCGGUAAUACGAAGGGGGCUAGCGUUGUUCGGAUUUACUGGGCGUAAAGCGCACGUAGGCGGACUAUUAAGUCAGGGGUGAAAUCCCGGGGCUCAACCCCGGAACUGCCUUUGAUACUGGUAGUCUUGAGUUCGAGAGAGGUGAGUGGAAUUCCGAGUGUAGAGGUGAAAUUCGUAGAUAUUCGGAGGAACACCAGUGGCGAAGGCGGCUCACUGGCUCGAUACUGACGCUGAGGUGCGAAAGCGUGGGGAGCAAACAGGAUUAGAAACCCCAGUAGUCCC